AACGCGAAGAACCUUACCUGGAUUUGACAUCUCCGGACAACCCUAGAGAUAGGGCUUUCGUAGCAAUACGACCGGAAGACAGGUGCUGCAUGGCUGUCGUCAGCUCGUGUGGUGACAUGUUGGGUUAAGUCCCGCAACGAGCGCAACCCUUGUCCUUAGUUGCCAGCAUUCAGUUGGGCUCUCUAAGGAGACUGCCGUGGUUAACACGGAGGAAGGUGGGGAUGACGUCAAGUCCUCAUGGCCUUUAUAUCCAGGGCGACACACGUGAUACAAUGGUCGGUACAGAGGGAAGCGAAGGGGCGACCUGGAGCCAAUCUCAAAAAGCCGAUCUCAGUUCGGAUUGGAGUCUGCAACUCGACUCCAUGAAGUUGGAAUCGCUAGUAAUCGCGGAUCAGCACGCCGCGGUGAAUACGUUCCCGGGCCUUGUACACACCGAGUAUA
rnacentral:rRNA from 1 species